rnacentral:rRNA from 1 species
AGGAUUAACGCUGGCGGCGUGCAUGAGACAUGCAAGUCGAACGGACACUCAGGGCUUGCUCUGAGUGUUAGUGGCGGACGGCUGAGUAACGCGUAGGUGACCUGCCCCGAAGUGGGGAAUAACUGCCCGAAAGGGUGGCUAAUACCGCAUGUGGUGAUGCGUUCAUUCGCAUCAGUAAAGCCGCAAGGCGCUUCGGGAGGGGCCUGCGUCCGAUUAGCUCGUUGGUGAGGUAACGGCUCACCAAGGCGACGAUCGGUAGGUGGUCUGAGAGGACGAUCACCCAGACUGGGACUGAGACACGGCCCAGACUCCUACGGGAGGCAGCAGUCGGGAAUUUUGCUCAAUGGGGAACCCUGAAGCAGCAACGCCGCGUGCGGGAUGACGGCCUUCGGGUUGUAACCGCUUUUACCAGGGACGAUAAUGACGGUACCUGAUGAAUAAGUCACGGCUAACUACGUGCCAGCAGCCGC